AUUGGUUUUUCAUGUGAAAGCUUCAUGACAGUGUAUAUCAAUAAUACUUUAAUGAAAAAAAAAGAAAAAGAAAAACCUACAGAUAACAUCAUGCUUAAUGGUGAAAGACAGAAAGCAACUCUCUUAACAUCAGGAGCUGGACAAGAGUGCUUGCUUUCACCACUUCUACUUAACAUAUAUUGGAAGUUCUAGCCAGAGGAAUUAGGCAAAAAAAAAGUAUUCAAAUCAGAAAGGUAGAAGUAAAAUGAUCUGUGAAUGCAGAUGAUAUGAUUUUACAUAUGGAAAACCCUAAAUAUUCCACCAAAAAAAAAAAACCUAUUAGAGCUAAUAAACAAAUUCAGGCUGUCUCCGCCUAAGCCUACCCUGUUGGUUCCCAGGAUGCCAGUAGAAAGUGAGGCAAAAGACUAAUCUAAUCUUAGAUUCCCUUAAAUACACCAAGAAUUCGGUUGUGUGAGUGUGAAAUAGGCAACAGUGUGCAAGGUCCCCAUUAAGAGAUAAUCAGCACCUUUUCCCUUGUUGCUUCUCUGACUCUCUGCCCCAGCCCAGGAAAUCCUCACCUGGCUUCCCAGGGGCCAGGGUGCUAGUUCUGUAGUUCUUCUCUUUUCAGUCUAUUGUUUAUGACACAAAUUUUAUGAUUCCUUCAUGGUUUUACUUUGAUACUUAAAAAACAAGCUCCUUUCUCUCUCAAAAUAUCUGUCAGUCUAAACUUUGGGUUUCCAUUCUUUAUCCAUUCAGUUCAUGCACUUCAGGGGUAGGUCAUUCAUUUAGUUUCCUGAGCUGUUGUAACAAGUGACCACAAACUCCACAGCUUAAAACAACACACCUUUAUUCUCUUACAGUUCUGGAGUUCAGAAGUCCAACACGGGUCUCACUGGCCAACAUCAGUGUGUUGGCAGGGGUGUGUUUCCUCUGUUGCUUGCCAUUGGUGGCUUCUAGAAGCAACCCCCUUUUGUGGGCACUGACUUUCUUUCCUGGUCUCCAGGGCCAGCAGCCUAGCGCUCAGUGCUGCUUUUGCUACCAUCUCUCUGGUUCUCUUCUGCCUCCUCUUCUGCUUCUAAGGAUCCUUGUGAUGGCAUCAGGCUCAUCAGGAUAAUCUCAUCUCAGUGUUAACCCGUUAGCAAACAAUUUCAUCUCCAACUUUAGUUUCCAUUUGCCACAUAAACUAACAUGUUUACAGGUUCCAGGGAUUAGGACUUGGACAUGUUCAGAGGGUAUUAUUCUACUUCCCACAGUCAUACCUAGUUUCAACCAUUUAGCACAAUCCAUUCCCUUGGCUGCAGCCAUAGGUAUACAGUUACAGGCAUAUAGCCUAACCCAGUCCAGACCGAGUGAAUGUCAACUCUACUAGGAAUGCUGGGGUGGAAGGACUCGCCCCCUUCCUCCAGACGUGUCCUGUCCAGUGCAGCAGCCACUAGCCACAUGAGGCUAUGGAGCAUUUGCAUUUGAAAGGAUGUGACUACUAGAAAAAUUUGAAUCACAAAUAAGUCUUGCAUUAUAUUUCCACUGGGCAGUGCUGCUCCAGAUGGUGUAGGGAAUAGAUGGGAAGCCUGGACUCACUGCAGUAAUUUUUUUCCUGGUGUGGGACGUCAGCUCAGGAUGAAGCUGCAGCUGAAGGAGGCCGAGCAGAGAGAAACCGGCUCCUUGAUGACAUCAUUGGGCCACUGGUGCAACCAACCUCGAACCUUCCAAGCAUCACCUUUCCAUCCUAAUGUCUUCAUAGACUUCAUAUCCCCUCUUCUUCAGCCCUACAGGUUAACACUGCCCCAGGCUGUGCCUCGCUUCCCGUAGUCUCAAAUAUGUCAAAAUAAAUCUUUGAGCAAUUACAAA